AUUAGUGGAAUACUGACAAAAUAGGUCACGAGCAUAUUGAGAGCGAGAGAAACGGAUGCAAGAGAUCAUAUUGGUCUCUUGUUUGCUAUCAUGGCAUUGGUGGAGGGUGACUUCUAGCUGUAUUUUUGGCCUUUUGGCGCAGUAAUGGCAGUUUCCUUCCUGUCUCUUUUUUGGUUGUGUUGUUUUAAGUUUUGUUUUUGUCUUUCGAAGAAUAUCAUUGUCAGCUCUGGUUAUGUUUCCUUCCUAAUGAAUAAUAUUUAUUUUUCAAGGGGGGAGAGGGAUAAUUAUCUGUAGAAGUGGCUUGUAAUUUUGAUGUGGCCUAACAUGUGACCUGACCUGAAAAUCCCAUGCCAUGGACCAAGAAUCAUUUUAAAAGUUUGAGUCCUUUUCUAUUGGUCUCUUAGCUACUAUUACAUCCUCUUCUGUUGUGUUUUUCUUAAAAUACUUGACUCAUUGUUAGUUUCGAGGCUGGCAUUAUAAAUUGCUUCAUGUGGUUUUCUGGGUUUCUCAACUUGUUUCAGCCGACCCAGGGAUAGAUUCCGCGAAAGAGAAAAUGGAAGAUCUGGUAAUGAAGGGAGCACUAGAGCUGGAUCUCGGACAUUCACGGGACAACUUCCUACUAUUUUACAGUCGCGUGACCGACAGGAUGACACCGGCAGCAUGUACGAAGAAAAUGUUGACGGAAGCAAGGAUUCAGGGGACACCAGCAGCAUUGGAGAUCCGGAAUUAGUCUCAGCAUUUGAAGGCCCGUCUAGUGGAUACGGUUCUCAAAGGCACAGUUCAAGAGGAAGCAAGUCAAGGCAACUUGGAGAACGUAGGGACAGAGACAGCAGACGUGAAGGGAAAUGGGAAAGGAAACAUUCUUAGCUACUGGGCAUGGAGUUGUGCAUUAGAUUAGGUCUCUGUGUGUAUAUAAUAUAACAAUAUAUACAUGCGCAAAACCAAACCGUGGGAAUGGACAUUUUUACAACUUUAAUUUGGGGAAUUCUGUGCAGAACCUUGGGCAGCAUGUCUCUUUGGUCUUGCUACAUGGUUAAACAGUGUUGUAGAUUAGUAUGUAUAGCUGAAUUAGAUGUUGGUCCAUGUUUCUGUUCAAUAGUUUGGAGGACUGACAGAUUAUUCACAUGCAUGUAUGCAAGAUUAGAUCUUUUCCCCUCCAACCACUGUAAAUGAUUGAAAUUUCAUUGUGACUGUAAGUUUACCCUGUGACCAAAUUUGUUUUUCAUCUGUUGUAAUAGAUUCCUGGAAAUGAAACAUUUUACCGUUGUAACCGUUUUGAUUGAUAGUGUUCAAUAAAGUAGAUGUUGGAUACCAA